rnacentral:rRNA from 1 species
ACGGGAGGCAGCAGUGGGGAAUAUUGCACAAUGGGGGAAACCCUGAUGCAGCGACGCCGCGUGAGUGAAGAAGUAUUUCGGUAUGUAAAGCUCUAUCAGCAAGGAAGAAAAAAAUGACGGUACUUGACUAAGAAGCCCCGGCUAACUACGUGCCAGCAGCCGCGGUAAUACGUAGGGGGCAAGCGUUAUCCGGAUUUACUGGGUGUAAAGGGAGCGUAGACGGUUAUGUAAGUCUGAAGUGAAAUCCCCCGGCUCAACUGGGGAACUGCUUUGGAAACUAUAUAACUAGAGUGCAGGAGAGGUAAGUGGAAUUCCUAGUGUAGCGGUGAAAUGCGUAGAUAUUAGGAGGAACACCAGUGGCGAAGGCGGCUUACUGGACUGUAACUGACGUUGAGGCUCGAAAGCGUGGGGAGCAAACAGGAUUAGAUACCCUGGUA